UACAACAAUUUUUGAAAAAUCUUACCUAGUAAUUUCUUCUUCCCUGGGUCCCAAACACUCAAUUUAGCCUUUUAAGGGACAUGUAAGACAUACUAAAGGUAGGAGGAAGUUAAAUGGAUAUUUGAUUCAGAUACUAAUUUAAUGUUUAUUUUUUUCACAUUCUUCCCAGACGUUGUGUAGUCUUACCUGUGCCUAUGCUGUUGAUUCAGCUCUGAGCAUGGGAGCUGCGGGCUGGAUAUUUGUCACUUUCUGGGAAUAGCCUCUUUCCCCAGCAGGACUGUCACAGCUGCAUCACAGAAGCCGUGUGCCCUAGGCAGGGGCUCACUACAUGUUUGGCAAGGAUGACAAUGAUAAUACAAAGUGCUUGGGGCAGUGCUGACAGCCCAGCAUAAAUGAAGCUAAUGCCGCACCCGCCUCCUCCUUGCACCUGCGCUCCGGGCUCCCUGCUGGUCAGGCGAGAUCCCCUGGAGCGAUGCCCUUGGUGAGUGUCCUCUCCGGGCUGCUGGCUGCGCACAUCGCCCCUGAGCCCUGAAACCUACACCCUAGGAACUGAAGAGACUGCCGAGGGUCGUCGUGUUCCCAGCACACAACAGUCUCUGGGGGAGCGGAGCUUUACCAGGAGCUGAUGACUGAGCUUCCACUGUGGUUGCUUGCGCCCUGGAGCCGGAGGCAGAAUUGGGACCCCCUUCUCUGCUGAGGUGGAGGGUUGCCAGGACGCCUCCCUGCUCGGAGGAGCCAGAGAAGUUCUGCGACAGGUUGGGAGUCUGCUUCCAGGGGCGGGGAAGGGCGGGGGGCGAAGCACUGCAUGAGGACAUCUGCCGCCAGAGGCCGUCUUGCCAAACCCCCUGCAGACAUCUGUACCCCAGGCUGCCAGUCCUGACAGGCGGGCAGUCCUGACAGGCGGCCCUUCUUCCCACCCGUGAUUCCCUCUGGGAAGGGUGGCGGCAUCCAUCGGGCCAAUAAGCGCCUCUCUUCGUGCCUGUGUAUACUGGUGGAGGACUUGAAGUGCUUUCUAAAAAUAAGCUGGUUGCUAAGUUCUCCUAGUUCCAGAAGGAGCAGAUAAAGAAUGCAGGUCCUCUGGCUUGAAAUCUACCAGCCCGUCUCUUCUCCCCUCAGCCCGGCCCUCCCUGAGUCCACUGGGCUGGCCUGGUUUUCCUGCUCCCACACAUGCAUGCAAACCCUAGAUAAGAAUUUCCAGAGAACCCAACCAGCAAGAGCAAACCGACUGCUCACUCAGGCAGCGCGACGUGGCAGAGGGAGCGCCACCAAGGGAGCUGGCAGGCCGUGGGAUGAGCUGCGGGACCCAGGGCAAAGACCUGACCUCUGGAGCCUGGGUUUGCUGAUUCACACAAACAGUGGCUGACUCAUGCCACGUGGGAGAAGAAAGAAGAAGUGACACGUUGGCCGUUAUCUCAGAAACUACGGCGGAGACUCCCCCCGUGGGAAGGCACAUGCGUCAUCGCCGAGAGCCUGUUUGAGCACCAGGCCAAGAGUCACCGUGAAGCCCUCCCUGCAACCUGAGGCACAGCCGGCCCUUCCUCUCUGCACCCACUAUCCUCUGUCCACCCCGCCUGGAGCUUUGCUGGUGGGUUGUAAACGCACACCUGUCUGGAGACUGUGAGCCCUUUGAUGAGAAAGUUGGCCUAAUUCUGGUUAGCUCGGUGACAUCAAGACCUGCGUGUUCCCUAGGAAGCACGAGGGGAGAAAGUAAAAGAAAGGAACUUCUUACAGAAUGGCCUUCCUCUCUGUAAAGAGGAUUCAUUCUUCCACUCGAUACUCUGGGGGCGAGGAUUCCUGUGAUUAAAAACUCUGAGGUCAGAGCCACAGAAGCCAGGUAAGAAGAGAGUCCCUGGCCAAAGGGGAGUGAGCAAGAUCUGAGGGCUUAUGCCGACCAUGCUUCCAUUGCUUUCGUGUCACGAAUGAGGAAAAGGAGGCCCAGAGAGGUAAAGGGACUGGCCCAAGGUCACACAGCACAGCCGGAAUGAAGUCCUGGGAUUUUUCACUUUUCUUUUGCUGUACUGUUUGUGCCCAUCAAACCUCAGAAGCGGAUGGAUGCUUGUUACGAUAUUGAGCAGGGGGGAUGGGCUUUAACGUGUGUCCAGCUGCUCUGGGGAAGCUGCCGGUGUGAGCAGCCUUCUGCAGCGCGGCCUGUAGGUGCAGUGCAGCUUGCCCUGCUCCGGCUGUCUCAUCCUGCAAGGCCUCCGAAGCUUGCUCUGGGUGUGUCUUGGGCCUCCCUGACUGGGGACCAUCAGAGGCUGGUCACAUCCCCAGCCACAGCCUCCCGGGCUGUGGUCAGAAUCCAGGAGAAGUGGAGCUGCCGUUGAAAUCUGACAGCAGUCGCACGGCUGGACCUAUUUUUGGAUCAGGACCGACAAGGUUUAAACUUGAGCAUGCCAUCUAUCAGGGAAGCUGCCUGUCUGUCAGUGCCCGAGAGCAGACUGGGCAGGGGGUGCGCUGGGUCGGGGUGUUGGCGGGGAGAGGACAGCGGCCCCCAGACGUGCUCAGUGAGUCUGCCCUGCUCAGCUCUAUGUAGCUGUGCACCUUGGGGCGGCUCCCUCCCCUCUCUGGGCCCUGGAUUCCCCAGUGACGUAAGGGAGUCCACUGUAUGAUCACCGAGGCCCUUUCCAGCUUGGCCAGACUUCCAGCCUUGAGACAUAUCGAGAUUCGAAGCAGCCAGGCUGAGAAGAGCACUCCAGACACUUCCUCUUCCUCGGCCCUGCACCUGCAACCACUUCCUCUCCUGGAAUUUUCUGUUUUCUUCUCCGUCAGGACACCCGGCUUGUGUGGCUCUGCUUCCCUGCCUUCCUCAGGAGCCCACUGAUGCACAGGGUGCCCGGCUGCUGCUCGAUUCUGGGCCACCGUCUCUGGAGGGCACAGAACAGUGGGGUGAAGGGGAACCUCUCUGUCAAAGUCCUGGGCAACUGCCAGGCUGAAGGAAGGGCAGCGGCUGGCCCGUCCCUGUCCCCAGGGUCACAGUGUCGUGAUGCUCUCCUUCACAGCUGUCCUCCUCCUCCACCAUCCCUGGGGGCAGAAGGAAGCCCUGGAUGCCAUGGAGCAGAAGGGGAGGUGGCACAGCAGGGCCAGUCUCAGGAAGGGGAAGGGUGGCUCUUGGACGACAAGUCUGGAGACCAGAGCAGGACGCCCCCAGGACAGAAAGGACAGGCACACUGCCUGGAUCCCUGCCCCCUAGGAGAGUGGACACAAACCCGAGUGUGGGCACCUAGAGUGACUGCCCUAAAUAAGGAAUUGUUGUGACCCUCCCAUAUUUUACCUUAAAAAGCCAGUGCCCAGCACGUGACAGAUGCUCCGUACAUGUUUACUGAAGGCAUCAGAAUUCUGCAUGCGACUUGCAUCUUUUGCACAAUCCCCCAUUUGGGAGCCAAACUUAUGCUCUCUGGCGAUCCAGGACCUCUGGCAGCCUUGCUCUCAGCUCGUGCCUGGGCAGGAACUCGGCCCGGCUGAAAGCCUCUGGGCAAACUAUCAGUGUAAGCUAUUGCCUUGGCUUGUUGACCAGGUUCCAAAGGGCCUGCAGCAAGUCCCUUCUCCGUCCCUGGCUUCAGUUCCCAGUUCCCUGUGCGAGACGGUGCAGAGGUGGGGGGUGGGGGACGUGAGGUCCCAGCCAGCUCUGGGAGCUCAGCUGCCUGACUCAAUUAUACCUGGUGCGCCUGGAGGGACGUGGUGAAGUGAGCCCUGGGGAAAUGCUUGGGGAACAUGCAAAGCUCAUUAGGGGCAGAGCUCCGUGUGCCGAAGGAGCAGGAAUGAAAGAAGGUUCAGUACUUUGGGCCACUUCUGACCAUCUUUGGGUGUCUGGCUAUGACCAGAGGCUUGGAAAAUGGGAUCUUUGCAUUGCAAUUCACGUGUUAUCUGUAUUUUAUAAAACGAAAGCCAAAGUCGGCAUCGCGCUAUUUGGAGGCAUCCUUCCAUUUGUUUGCUCCUUCGUUAGAAAAACACUCAUGGAGAACUGACUACAGUGGCCAGGUCGGGGAGCUGAUCAGGAGACAGUGAAGGAAGCGGGAAAUCAUCACAAGUGAAAGGGGUGCAAUGACGGCAUGAGGAAAGGGUCUGGCCGGUUGCCACGGGACGCACUACCUGUCCCUCUGAUACACACGCUGUCGUAUGCAUGUCACCAUCUCUCCCUGGAGACUGUGCAGGACUGCACAGGAGGAUACAGGCUCAGCCAGGGGAAGUGACCUGCGCAAGAUCACGCAACCCCUAUCUUCUGACCCCAAAUGCAGGACUGCCUCCGUUACCCCACAGCCAUAGAUAGAACAUCAUGAGUCAAAGCCGUAUAGGCUUCCUUCAAUGAAUCACUUUUGCUUUGCUAAGCCGCUUUUGUUCCCACUUAAAAUAAUAAUCAUAAAAGCCCUGGCUUGCGUACUUUUGGUAUAAAGCUGAGUGGUCUAAGGGGCUUUAAGAAAAUGAAAAUGUUUAUGGAUAAACUGCAAGGUCCUACCGUAUAAUACUGUAUUCUUGCAAUAGCCGAUAAUGGAAACGAACCUGAAAAAGAACAGAUCUAUGUCUGAAUCAUUUUGCUGUACAUCUGAAACACUGUAAAUCAACUGCACGUCAAUAGAACAUUUUUAAAAAAGAAAAUGAGAAUAUUUGAAGAUUUUCACCCUCGGCCCUUCAUUGGGAGGGACCAUCAUUUCCAUUGCUUGCCAGACCCUUUACUC